GGAAAGAGGAGCGAAGCAACCUGGAGUGACCAGGGAAGGAAGCGGGGCUGUAGCCUGAUCUACUGUCGAGAUUCUGCACUGUCCAGAAAAAAAAUGGUACUUCUACUUUUGAGUCUGCGCUCCAUCACUUCCUUCUACAAGAGCUCGGCAUCCUAGUUCUAGGCCUUUCCAGGGUUCUUCAAGCCAUCACAACUUCUCCAACCAGAAAAAGAUGCUUGAUUUCACUCCAAGUCAGACAAAUGCAAAACAAAUCCAGAGAAAUGUAUUUUUUUCUACCUAUCAGACGGGCAAAGGUGAAAAUGUCCAGUGAACUACAUGGAUGUGAACAUGGAAAAACCCACUGCCGCUGGGAGAAUAAACAAGUCCAACCCCUAUGAGGAGAACGGGGCCAUGACCCGACAAGUGUGAAAUGCGAAACUCCUAACCCAGCAACUUCACUAAUAGGAAUUUACCCUAUAGAUCGGAGUCCAGCAAACCUUUUCUUUAAAGGGCCAGGCUUCGGAUGAUGAAUUUUUACAAAGGCAUUGAUAGUGGUUAUGAGGAAUAAAUACUACAGAUGGAUGAAAUCAAAGAAUCAGACUUCAAGGCUGGAUAAAGGAGUCAUGAAAAGGAGCGAGAAGCAGAAAUGAAGGACAGAGAAAAUUCUAGAAGUAAAAUGAACAGUUGGCUAUGGAAAAGAAAAUCUUCUGCUGUUUGAAUAAAGACUAAAGAGCUUUCAUUGUUGGCUCCCCACAUGGCUGUGUCUUUUUGAGCAGCAAGUUGCAAGAUCAAGAAAGCAGAAGGAACUUAGACUCGAACUGUUUAGUAGUAAUGAAAAUGUACCAAACAUCAACAACGAAUUUCCUAGGCAAUUUCCUUUCCAAAGCAUAUUCGCAUGUAUGACAGGUAAAAUGUUUUCCACAAACACCAUUUUUAACAUAGGAUUUUAUUUGCAGAAGCUAUUUUUGUGACCUAAGGAAGAAACAGCUCAUUGAAACAGAACUUUGUUGAUUUGGUUUCAAAGAAUUCUGUGAUAUGAAGAAUUCUGUGGAAUGCAAGGGUUCAGGAGUCCCUGAACAAGGAACAGGCAUAUCUGGGUGAUGUCCACUAUUGGCCGAGGCCUCGGCUGGAUACUCGGCUGGAACAUCAAGAGCUUUCUUUUUUGUGCUUGGACCUUCCCCUAGCAUGGCAGUUGGGUUCCAAAAGCAAGCAUUCCAACAGAACCGGGCAGAAGCUGUGAACUUCCUAUGAACUAGUUUUGGAAGAACAUAGUGUCACUUCCACCGUUAGUCAUAAAUACUCCGGCGUUCAAGAUUUCCUUAUCUUGAUGUGAGGAAAGUUAAAAUCACAUUGAGGACAUGCAGGAUGGGAAUUACUGCUGUGGCUAGUUUUGAAAAAUGACACCUGCGACAAAGUCCUUGAAGUAAAACUCUCUAUAUGUGAUUUGUGUUUGC